AUACGGAGGAUGCGAGCGUUAUCCGGAUUUAUUGGGUUUAAAGGGUGCGUAGGCGGCCUUGUAAGUCAGCGGUGAAAUUUUGCAGCUUAACUGUAAAAGUGCCGUUGAUACUGUGAGGCUAGGAUUUGGUUGCUGUGGGUGGAAUGUGUGGUGUAGCGGUGAAAUGCUUAGAGAUCACACAGAAUAUCGAUUGCGAAGGCAGCUCACAAAGCCAAGAUUGACGCUGAGGCACGAAAGUGUGGGGAUCAAACAGGAUUAGAUACCCUGGUAGUCCACACUGUAAACGACGAUAACUCGCUGUCGGCGAUAUACAGUCGGUGGCCAAGCGAAAGCGAUAAGUUAUCCACCUGGGGAGUACGACCGCAAGGUUGAAACUCAAAGGAAUUGACGGGG
rnacentral:rRNA from 1 species